GGAACGGCAUGGGAGGGCCGGCCGCAGCGGGUGACAGCCCCGUACGCGAACCCAGACCGGACGGCGCGACGCGGUCCCUGAGUAGGGCCGGGCACGUGAAACCCGGUCCGAACCUGGGUGGACCACCAUCCAAGCCUGAGUACUACCCUGUGACCGAUAGCGCACCAGUACCGUGAGGGAAAGGUGAAAAGCACCCCGGGAGGGGAGUGAAACAGUACCUGAAACCGUGCGCCCACGAGCAGUCGGAGCACCUUUAUGGUGUGACGGCGUGCCUUUUGUAGAAUGAGCCAGCGAGUCGCUGGCGCGGGGCGAGGUUAACCGAAAGGGAGCCGGAGCGAAAGCGAGCCUUAACAGGGCGACUUGAGUCCCGCGCCGCGGACGCGAAGCCGGGUGAGCUAUCCGUGGGCAGGCUGAAGCGGGGGUAAGACCCCGUGGAGGGCCGAACGCACGUCGGUUGAAAACGGCGGCGAUGACCUGCGGAUAGGGGUGAAAGGCCAAUCAAACCCGGAGAUAUCUCGUUCUCCCCGAAAUAGCUUUAGGGCUAGCGUCGCGCGUUCACCGCCGGAGGUAGAGCACCGGAUGGACGAGGGGGCUUCGCCGCCUACCGAAUCCAACCGAACUCCGAAUGCCGGCGGCCCAGAGCGCGGCAGUCAGAGCAUGUGGGCUAAGCUGUGUGCUCGAGAGGGAAACAGCCCGGACCGCCCGCUAAGGUCCCCAAGUUCCAGCCGAGUGGCAAAGGAUGUGCGUCCGCCCAGACAACCAGGAUGUUGGCUUAGAAGCAGCCAUCCAUUCAAAGAGUGCGUAACAGCUCACUGGUCGAGUGGACAUGCGCCGACAAUACACGGGGCUAAGCUGGACACCGAAGCGGCGGGAUUUUAAUUCAUUAGAAUCGGUAGGGGAGCUUCCCAUGGGCGGAGAAGCCGGAGGGCGACCGACGGUGGAGCGCAUGGGAGUGAGAAUGCUGGCAUGAGUAGCGAGAGACGAGAGAGUAACUCGUCCGCCGUGAACCCGAGGUUUCCUGGGCAAGGCUAAUCCUCCCAGGGUCAGUCGGGGGCUAAGGCGAGGCCGGUAGGCGUAGCCGACGCGCAGCAGGCAGACAUUCCUGCACCGCGCACGCGGCGCUACGACCGACGGGGCGACGGAUGGGGGUGGCUCGGCGGGGUUCUGGACGUCCCCGUGAUGGAGCGCGGCCCGCGGACCAGGGAAAUCCGGUCCGCAGAAGGGCGAGGCUCCGGACGAAGCGACUGAGCGAAGCGAGUGAGCCCGAGGUCCCUAGAAAAACCCCUAGGCAGGCGCGUGCGCGCCCGUACCGCAAACCGACACAGGUGGGUGGGUAGAACAUACCGAGGCGAUCGGGUCAACCAUGGUCAAGGAACUCGGCACAAUGGCCCCGUAACUUCGGGAGAAGGGGUGCCCGCGCGUACGUGAACCGGCUUGCCCGGGGAGCGGAGGCGGGCCGCAGUGGAGAGGCCCAAGCGACUGUUUACCAAAAACACAGGACUCUGCAGAAGCCGCAAGGCGACGUAUAGGGUCUGACGCCUGCCCGGUGCCGGAAGGUCACGCGGAGGAGUUAGCCAUUUCGGCGAAGCCCCGAAGCCAAGCCCCGGUAAACGGCGGCCGUAACUAUAACGGUCCUAAGGUAGCGAAAUUCCUUGUCGGGUAAGUUCCGACCUGCACGAAAGGCGCAACGACUUGGGCGCUGUCUCGACCAUGGACCCGGUGAAAUUGCACUGGUCGUGAAGAUGCGACUUACCCGCGGAAGGACGGAAAGACCCCGUGAACCUUCACUGCAGCUUGGCAUUGGCCGCUGGUCCCGCGUGUAGAGGAUAGGCAGGAGGCUAAGAUCCGGAGGCGCCAGCCCCCGGGGAGCCGCCCUUGGAAUACUGCCCUCGCGCGACCGGCGUCCUAACCCGAGGCCGUCAACCGGCUCGGGGACCGUGCCAGGCGGGCAGUUUGACUGGGGCGGUCGCCUCCUAAAGGGUAACGGAGGCGCGCGAAGGUCCGCUCGGGACGGUCGGCAACCGUCCUUUUGAAUGCAAGAGUACAAGCGGGCUUGACUGCGAGGCCCACAAGCCGAGCAGGUGCGAAAGCAGGCUCUAGUGAUCCGGCGGCCCCGAGUGGGUGGGCCGUCGCUCAACGGAUAAAAGGUACUCCGGGGAUAACA
rnacentral:rRNA from 1 species